rnacentral:rRNA from 1 species
AUUGAACGCUGGCGGCAGGCCUAACACAUGCAAGUCGAACGAGUGGCGGACGGGUGAGUAAUGUCUGGGAAACUCCCCUAUGGAGGGGGAUAACUACUGGAACCGGUAGCUAAUCCCGCAUACCAUCAGAUGCGCCCAGAUGGGAUUAGCUUGUUGGUGGGGUAACGGCUCACCAAGGCGACGAUCCCUAGCUGGUCUGAGAGGAUGACCAGCCACACUGGAACGGAGACACGGUCCAGACUCCUACGGGAGGCAGCAGUGGGGAAUAUUGCACAAUGGGCGCAAGCCUGAUGCAGCCAUGCCGCGUGUAUGAAGAAGGCCGUAGGGUUGUAAAGUACUGUCAGCGGGGAGGCGUUACCCGCAGAAGAAGCACCGGCUAACUCCGUGCCAGCAGCCGCGGUAAUAC